rnacentral:rRNA from 1 species
UGCGUAGGCGGAAUAUUAAGUCAGUGGUGAAAUCCUGCGGCUCAACCGUAGAACUGCCAUUGAUACUGAUAUUCUUGAAUGUAGUUGAGGUAGGCGGAAUGUGUAAUGUAGCGGUGAAAUGCUUAGAUAUUACACAGAACACCGAUUGCGAAGGCAGCUUGCUAAACUAUGAUUGACGCUGAUGCACGAAAGCGUGGGGAGCGAACAGGAUUAGAUACCCUGGUAGUCC